GACGAACGCUGGCGGCGCGCUUAACACAUGCAAGUCGAACGGAAAGGCCUGCUUUCCCUUGUGGAUUGCGGGUACUCGAGUGGCGAACGGGUGAGUAACACGUGAGUGAUCUGCCCCCAACUUGGGUAUAAGCCUGGGAAACUGUGUCUAAUUCCCGAUAGGACUGCAGGGUGGUGCCUGUGGUGGAAAACGAUUUUCUAGUGGUUGGGGAUGAGCUCGCGGCCUAUCAGCUUGUUGGUGGGGUAAUGGCCUACCAAGGCGGCGACGGGUAGCCGGCCUGGGAGGGUGGACGGCCACAUUGGGACUGAGAUACGGCCCAGACUCCUACGGGAGGCAGCAGUGGGGAAUAUUGCACAAUGGGCGGAAGCCUGAUGCAGCGACGCCGCGUGGGGGAUGACGGCCUUCGGGUUGUAAACUCCUUUCGACCGCGAGGAAGCCACCUGGUUGGAAGGGUGGUGACGGUAGUGGUAGAAGAAGCACCGGCUAACUACGU
rnacentral:rRNA from 1 species